UACGGGGGGGGCAAGCGUUGUUCGGAAUUACUGGGCGUAAAGGGCGCGUAGGCGGUUUUGCAAGUCGAAUGUGAAAGCCCAGGGCUCAACCUUGGAAGUGCAUCCGAAACUGCGAAACUUGAAUCCUGGAGAGGGUGGUGGAAUUCCCAGUGUAGAGGUGAAAUUCGUAGAUAUUGGGAGGAACACCGGUGGCGAAGGCGACCACCUGGACAGAGAUUGACGCUGAGGCGCGAGAGCGUGGGGAGCAAACAGG
rnacentral:rRNA from 1 species